rnacentral:tRNA from 1 species
GGGGAUAAGGCUCAAUAGUAAAUAAAGUACUUGCAUAGCAUGCAUGAGGCCCUGGGUUCAAUUCCCAGCAACACCA